rnacentral:rRNA from 1 species
UACGUAGGGUCCGAGCGUUGUCCGGAAUUAUUGGGCGUAAAGGGCUCGUAGGCGGUCUGUUGCGUCGGGAGUGAAAACUUACAGCUUAACUGUGAGCGUGCUUUCGAUACGGGCAGACUUGAGGCAUUCAGGGGAGAACGGAAUUCCUGGUGUAGCGGUGAAAUGCGCAGAUAUCAGGAGGAACACCGGUGGCGAAGGCGGGUCUCUGGGCAGUAACUGACACUGAGGAGCGAAAGCGUGGGGAGCGAACAGG